GGGGUCAUAGCUCAGUUGGUAGAGCGUCUCGUUCGCAAUGAGAAGGUCGCAGGUUCGAAUCCUGUUGGCUCCACCA
rnacentral:tRNA from 1 species